UCUAUUGUUGCCUCUUUCUAUCAUAGGAUCCUAUUUUCAUUCUCUGCAGAGCACUCAUCAUUCUGAUAUUUUAUUAUUAUUUACUCUCUGAUUUCUGUUUCUUUCCACUAGAAUGGAAGACAGAGAUCUCAUGUUCACGUCUUUAUUCCCCGCUCCUUGUGUGGUGCCUGGCGCACAGUAGGCCCUCAGGAAACAGUUGAUGACUCUGAAGGAAUUGCCGUUGAAGCUGGAGACUUUAAUCCCAGGCUUGUUCCUUAUCAGCGACCCCUUAAAGGACGUAUCUACUAAAAACAUCCAGAGAGCUUGCCCAGCUGCCGAUCUGGGACUUUUGGUAGAACCCCACCAGGCCACUCAAUCCACGCAAGAAAUUGAAACAAGCAGCAGAGAUUGGGGGAAAUGUGCUGAAGGUGGCAGUCAAGUGGGGUCCAUUGAGGCACCACUUCUGCUGAUGUCUUCUACCAUCUUCCUGGAGUCUUCUGCCGUCUUCCUGGCCAAACUUGGAGCACUCCCAACCCUCCUCUGAGCUAGGAGUCAUUAAGCUGUUUUGGCUAGAUCCUCCAUGGACAUGUAGCAGAGUAUUUAUAUCCCACCUGCUUUUUUUCCCUAAUGUCAACAACUCAACUGACUUUGGUGUUUUCUUUGCUGCAUUAGAAGAAGUCAGUUUCUCUUAUGGACAGGAAGGUGACCUUCUCUUGAAUAAAAUACAUUUUUCCUACUAGCA
rnacentral:lncRNA from 1 species